AGCAGUCGCCGCGGUAAUACGUAGGGCGCAAGCGUUAUCCGGAAUUAUUGGGCGUAAAGAGCUCGUAGGCGGUUUGUCGCGUCUGCCGUGAAAGUCCGGGGCUCAACCCCGGAUCUGCGGUGGGUACGGGCAGACUAGAGUGAUGUAGGGGAGACUGGAAUUCCUGGUGUAGCGGUGAAAUGCGCAGAUAUCAGGAGGAACACCGAUGGCGGAGGCAGGUCUCUGGGCAUUAACUGACGCUGAGGAGCGAAAGCAUGGGGAGCGAACAGGAUUAGAUACCCCGGUAGUCCCUGUCUCUUAUAC
rnacentral:rRNA from 1 species